GUUUAGCCCUACCUAACAUCUAGAAAUUCAGCAUGAGCAGUUUUGCAAACAUCACCACAAAAUGAGGGAAAGUCUGCAAUGCUGGAUGUUGACAUUACGGUUUGCCUAAAGAAAAGAAGAUCCACAUGGAGCUGAUUUUUGCAGUCCUUCAUCUUUUGACAAUCAGGAAGAACGAGGAGAAGAUCUGAGGAAGGGCUCUGAGUAAGCUGCCCGAGUCUGUGAAGGCUCUGCUGCCAACACAUGCUACUCCAGCUGAGGCAAUGGCUCACCCAAGAAUAACAACUGAAGAGGAGGCUAUAUCAACAAUCUGUAUCCGACCAAGUAGUGGAGGCUGGGAAGCAUAUUGUUUAAGAUGAUAAAGUUGUUGGAAAGAAAAAAAAAAGUACAUGGUGAACACUGGAUAACAACUUCAAGGCCACAUUUUAUGACUUCUAAUAGCAAUGUUUACUGAAGUUAAGUUUCCACUGUUGGGAAAAAUAAAAUGGGAAGUGGACAAAAAGAAAAAAAAAAUUCCACCGAAAGGAGCAAAGCUUGUUUGUCUCUUCACAUGGGGGAGGGAAGUGCUAUUGUGAUCAUGUCCUUUAACACAAUACCAGGGAAGUCCAUAGGAUAAUGGUUUCCCCUUCCAGAAUCUCUGCAGGAGCUGGGACAGGGCUAUGGUGCUCAAUAUUGUCACACAUAUUAGUGGUGCUCCUCAUUUGACCCUGAGCUUCUCACUAUAUUUUAGCAGAUAUAUAGGAAAUCACUCACAUGUGGCAUCUCCCUCCCCCACAUGAAAUAAUUCUGCAGGCAGGAGAUUUACAAAGCUGUGUAGGUUAGGGGAAAGGAAGAAAAUACAAUUUAAAGCUCUGUUGGCUUGCCCAGAACUAAGAUGGUAUCUUUCUCUUUUUCUCUCUCUCUUUCUUAUAAAAAUAGCUUAUUCAAUAGAGAAAAUACUUAUCCUACUUUAAUUUAUAAGAGCCAAUUCUGAGCACUUCAUAAGGGAAUGCAGCAGAUGGGGGAUUGAUCCAAUAGAUCACAGGUGUCA